GCCCCUGUGGCCUAAUGGCUAAGGCGUCUGACUUCUAUCUAUGGCAUGAAGAUGCUACGGGUUGUGUAUCAGAAGAUUGCGAGUUCGAUCCUCGCCAGGGGUU
rfam:Fusarium oxysporum Fo5176 contig00730, whole genome shotgun sequence.